UUUUCAAUGCCUGACAUCACCCUGCAGACAAUUGGCAGCCAGGAGAGGGGCAGCUGCCACUCUCUUCAGAUAUCUCUCUAUUUAAAGUUCAAAGACAGGCAGGAGAACAAAGAGGUAAGCCUGGCCCUGACCAACCCACCCGACAAUAGGAAGAAUGGCUGAAAAAGAAUCUACAUCAUCCCAACUUCUAGUCCCUAUUCUUCUCUUGGUUGGCUGGAUUGUGGGCUGCAUCCUAAUGGUUUAUGUGGUCUUCUUUUAGAAAGGCAAGAAGACUUCAGAUCGACACCAUUUAGAAGAAUAAAGAAAAGCAUGAACAUCAUAGAUUGUCAAAUGUUUCUCAUGUAAAUAACUGCAAUGUUUGACAUUGCUUUAUAAACUUGGAUUUAUAAACUGGU